AACAACUACCUCUUCCCCUACUGUAUUUAUUUAUUUUAUUUAUUUUGCUCCUUUGCAUCAUAUUAUUUAUAUUUUAACUUUUAACUUUCUUCAAACUACAAAUCUACCAUUCCAGUGUUUUUCUUGCCAUACUUUAUUUACUUUGCCACCAUGGCAUUUUUUUUGCCUUCACCUCCCUUAUCUCACAUCAUUUGCUCACAUUGUAUAUAGUCUUAUUUUUUUCUACUGCAUCAUUGAUUGUAUGUUGUUUUACUCCAUGUGUAACUCUGUGUUUUUGUAUGUUGUCGAACUGCUUUGCUUUAUCUUGGCCAGGUCGCAAUUGUAAAUGAGAACUUGUUCUCAACUUGCCUACCUGGUUAAAUAAAGGUGAAAUAAAAAAUGUUGUCACCAAUGCAAACAUAUUUUCACUUUGAGAUUUCCCAACACUGCCCCCUUUCUCCACCUCUCUCUCUAUCCCCACUUUCCUUCUCUCUCAGGAUUAAGAUCCUGGGUGUGUUUGUGGAGCGGCUGUUGGAGUCUGUUCUUUCGGAGGAUACCCCCAGCCAUGGGCAGUCUGGACGCGGCCAAGCAAUGUCUGCAAGACCUGGGGGCUCUGACGGCUGACGAGAAGCUCACCCCUCUGAACUACCACCUGGCCUGUCUGCCCAUGGACGUCCGCAUUAGCAAACUCAUGCUGUUUGGUGCCAUCUUCCGCUGCCUGGACCCUGCCCUCACAGACGCUGCCAGCCUGGCCUUCCCCCUUCAAAAAGCACUUUUUACUACUGUUUGCCUGAGUUUACUAAUGGCAGUCUAUCAGAGCCUUGGGUUGAAUUGGAAUGAGUAGAAAUGUGAACUUCCGUGAGGCUUUCCAUUUUCACACAGACGGUCACAAGUUUCUCUCUCCUAUUCCCCCUCUCCUGUUUUUUCUCUUCUUUUUUUUCUCCUCUCCUGCAGUGUUUUCUUCCUGUGGCCAGGUGUCUCCUUGGGAUAAGAGGGAGGAGGCCAAUGAGAAUAAGCUGAGUUACGCCCUGGCUAACAGUGACCAUCUGGCCCUGCUGCAGGGAUACAAGCUGGUGUGGUGCAGCCAACAACGUGAACCAGGCUUGGUUUCAGUACUGCUGAGAGAACUUCCUGCCUGGCAGGGCCUUACAGGUCAGAUACUGUUCUGUGGCAUCUUUCCUGACAGGUGGCAUUAGUACAGUGUUGUAAUAUACGGUACUUGCAAGAGUCUCUGAUGUGCUUUGUGGUUUGCAGGAGAUAACCAGUCUGAAGAGGCAGUUUACGGAGCUGUUGUCUGACAUUGGCUUUGUCAAGGAGGGACUGAGGGCCAGAGUCAUAGAGAGAAUGGCUGCCAAAUGGACUGAGGGUGUCCUGGAGGCUAGGGGCUGCGAGGUAGAACACACACACACACACACACACACACACACACACACACACACACACACUGUGUGUGUGUGUAUAUAUAUAUAUAUAUAUAUAUAUAUAUAUGUAUAUAUAUAUAUAUAUGUGUGUAUGUAUAUAUGUGUAUGUAUGUGUGUGUGUUUCAAUCAGA
rnacentral:lncRNA from 1 species